rnacentral:rRNA from 1 species
UACGUAGGGGGCGAGCGUUGUCCGGAGUUACUGGGCGUAAAGCGCACGCAGGCGGUCUGUUAAGUUUGGAGUGACAGUUGGUGGCUCAACCACCAAAGUGCUUUGAAAACUGAUAGACUUGAGGGCUUCAGAGGGACACGGAAUUCCGGGUGGAGUGGUGAAAUGCGUAGAGAUCCGGAGGAACACCAAAGGCGAAGGCAGUGUCCUGGGGAGUACCUGACGCUCAGGCGCGAAAGCCAGGGGAGCGAACGGG